GACGAACGCUGGCGGCGUGCUUAACACAUGCAAGUCGAACGGAAAGGCCCUGCUUUUGCGGGGUGCUCGAGUGGCGAACGGGUGAGUAACACGUGAGUAACCUGCCCCUGACUUUGGGAUAACUCCAGGAAACUGGGGCUCAUACCGGAUAGGAGCUCCUGCUGCACGGUGGGGGUUGGAAAGUUUCGGCGGUUGGGGAUGGACUCGCAGCAUAUCAGCUUGUUGGUGGGGUAGUGGCUUACCAAGGCUUUGACGGGUAGCCGGCCUGGGAGGGUGACCGGCCACAUUGGGACUGAGAUACGGCCCAGACUCGUACGGGAGGCAGCAGUGGGGAAUAUUGCACAAUGGGCGGAAGCCUGAUGCAGCAACGCCGCGUGCGGGAUGACGGCCUUCGGGUUGUAAACCGCUUUCGCCUGUGACGAAGCGUGAGUGACGGUAAUGGGUAAGGAAGCACCGGCUAACUACGUG
rnacentral:rRNA from 1 species